rnacentral:rRNA from 1 species
UACAGAGGGUGCGAGCGUUGUCCGGAAUCACUGGGCGUAAAGGGCGCGUAGGUGGUGGCUUAAGCGUGCGGUGAAAGCUCGGGGCUCAACUCCGAGUCGGCCGUGCGAACUGGGCUCACUGGAGCAUAGUAGAGGCAGGUGGAAUUCCGGGUGUAGCGGUGGAAUGCGUAGAGAUCCGGAAGAACACCGGUGGCGAAGGCGGUCUGCUGGGCCAAGACUGACGCUGAGGCGCGACAGCGUGGGGAGCAAACAGG